CCCGCACAAGCGGUGGAUUAUGUGGAUUAAUUCGAUGCAACGCGAAAAACCUUUACCUACCCUUGACAUGCUAGGAACUUGCCAGAGAUGGCUUGGUGCCCGAAAGGGAACCUAGACACAGGUGCUGCAUGGCUGUCGUCAGCUCGUGUCGUGAGAUGUUGGGUUAAGUCCCGCAACGAGCGCAACCCUUGUCAUUAAUUGCCAUCAUUCAGUUGGGCACUUUAAUGAGACUGCCGGUGACAAACCGGAGGAAGGUGGGGAUGACGUCAAGUCCUCAUGGCCCUUAUGGGUAGGGCUUCACACGUAAUACAAUGGCCGGUACAAAGGGCAGCGACACAGCGAUGUGAAGCGAAUCCCGAAAAGCCGGUCUCAGUCCGGAUUGGAGUCUGCAACUCGACUCCAUGAAGUUGGAAUCGCUAGUAAUCGCGGAUCAGCACGCCGCGGUGAAUACGUUCCCGGGCCUU
rnacentral:rRNA from 1 species